rnacentral:rRNA from 1 species
AGACGUCUACAUUAGAUACCCGGGUAGUCCCAGCCGUAAACUAUGCGCGUUAGGUGUAUCGGUGACCACGAGUUACCGAGGUGCCGAAGGGAAACCGUGAAACGUGCCGCCUGGGAAGUACGGUCGCAAGGCUGAAACUUAAAGGAAUUGGCGGGGAGCACCACAACAGGUGGAGCCUGCGGUUUAAUUGGACUCAACGCCGGACAACUCACCGGGGACGACAGCAAUAUGUAGGCCAGGCUGAAGACCUUGCCUGAAUCGCUG